rnacentral:tmRNA from 1 species
GGGGCUGUUUUGGCUUUCGACGGAAGUUUUAUAGCAGUUUAAGCAUACCAGCUGAUAUCUGUAACUAUCAACAAACAAUAAACGCAAACAACGCGAAUUACGCUCCAGCUUACGCAAAAGUAGCGUAAGUUUAACCUCCUUUUGGAGCCAGAUUCUUUUAUCUUUAUCGGGAGGUUUUAGAAUCUGUCAUUAAUCCGAUUGCUUGGGUGCUUGUGCCUAGAGGCAUUCAAAAAGAUUAUGGGCUUUUGAUAUAUUCCAUUUUGCAUGUUUUAAGGAAUAUAUCAAGAUAAUAAAACAUUGCUAAGUAUGUAGAAAUCUCUGUGGGAUAGGAUUUUCGGACUGGGGUUCAAUUCCCCACAGCUCCACCA